GAAAACAAAAAGUUAUGGCGGUGUCUUAAGCUUUUCAGAGGAAUUUGCUCUUUAAUGGAUAAAACGCCAGAAUCUUACUAAGAUUAGUAAAAUCAGUUUGUAUACCACUAUAAAAACAAUUAUUAAUAAUAAUUGUUUCAAAAUUAUAAUAAAUAAAAAAUUAAGUCAAGGUGCAGCAAAAAUUUUAGUAUGAAGUGAAUUACAAAGCUUUUUAGAAAUUUAUUAAAAAAAAUUAGGAUUUGAAAGUAAAAAUAUAAUAGAAUGAUUAUUUGAAUUAAGUUCUGAGAUAUGUA
rnacentral:rRNA from 1 species